AUUGUAAUGGGCAAGUACCCUUCUUCAUAAUAGGCGAAAACCCCUUUCUACAAUAGGCAAGAGCUAAAUAAACUCUUCAUAAUAUUUUUAUUUAUAGUAUUAGUCCUUUUAAUCUUGAUCUAAUUAGGAAUCCGACUCAAUUUAAGAAUAACACAAUAAGAGUUUUAGUCUAUCUAGGAAAUAAUUUUUCAUCCUAUUGAGAAAUAUUUAUUUUACCUACAUUAGGAAAAAGUCUCUUCUAAAUCUACUCUUAGGAUUUUGAGUCCCAAAUUUAACUAUUUUUUUAGGUACAUUUUCCUUUGCAGUUUUCAACAAGUUGUCACAAUCAAUAACUUGGAUGUAUGUGUGUAUUUUCAUUUACACUUUGGUUUUUGGACAAUUAGUCAAAUAUUAUUUGCAGUACAAUUUGAAUCUCAUAUUCGUUCUGUUUGUUAAAUUUGUUGAUGCCAGCAAUUUCUUUUUUUAUCUUUGUUAUUUAGUGUUGUUAGCUUGGUCUGUGAUCCAUGUUUCAUGUUUUGAUGGACGCCCAUACCCUAUUAGG
rnacentral:misc_RNA from 1 species